rnacentral:misc_RNA from 1 species
AAGCGGUCGGCAAUGCCACACCGUUUUCCCUCGAAUGACGAAGGUGCCGUGAUGCAAGGGGCUUCACCGGUGGCCCUGUGCUUCCGGCCUCCCUCUCACUUUCUCCCCCUUAACCGCUGGCGUCUAACCAGCUGUGGUGAGUAGACUCUCGAGCUCGCAAGUCGCUUCGAGAGCGGUGCCUGCGCAGGCGCGUCUCACCAGUCGUGCAAGCACGACUCCGCUCGCCCCGCCUCUUCGCCACCCUUUCCGGAGCCGUUUUGUUUUGUUUCUCUCACACAUUUGGCUAUCUUUCGAUGACGUAGGGAGGUCAGAGCGAUGUAUCGCUGCUGAUGUCGGCGGUCAGGCCCUGCAUGGCGCGGCGUCGAGGCAACUCGCGACAUUGAAUAUAUUGUAUGCCAUCCGCAUGAUAGGCAACGUGCCAACGUGACUCGAGCGUAUCUCACCCGACCCUCGCACUGCCCACUGCUGGCGUGGGGAGCCUGCGCCACCCCGAGGGGGAUGCACCAAAUGACGCCCGGCAUGAUGGGAGCGGCGGCGGGUCGGCCUGCGAAGCCGGAGUGGGUAGAGCAUGCGGCGGGGGCCGUACUCGCCGGUGACCGAGUCGGCGCAUGGCUGUAACGCGUGUGUCUAGGGCCUCUUCGCACCACGCGAUGGGGGCACUGUGGCAGGCCGUGGGGGGAGGGUCGAGCGGGGUUGAGCUCACGUUUGCAUGGCAGAGAAUGGACAUGCUGAAAAGCUAAACGAUCACUUGGCAAGCCACCCAAGGGCGCUGGGUUGCCGAUGCUCUCACCACAAACGGGCUGCUGUGUGUGUGUGUGCGUGCGGAUGUGUUCCUCUGUUCGUAUUUCUUACCUCUGCUCUCUCCUCUACCCCCUACACUCCCUCUUCCUCUGCACCGGCGCCUCUUCAUGGCUGCCGAACUCGUCUUGGGCGGGUGCACGUUAUCUGCCCACCUCGCCUGUUCCUUCAACAAG